rnacentral:rRNA from 1 species
GGUUCGAUUAUGGCUCAGAUUGAACGCUGGCGGGAUGCUUUACACAUGCAAGUCGAACGGCAGCACGGACUUCGGUCUGGUGGCGAGUGGCGAGCAGGUGAUAAUGUAUCAGACGUGCCUAGUAGCGGGGAUAACUACGCGAAAGCGUAGCUAAUACCACAUACGCCCUUCGGGGAAAACGGGGGACCUUCGGGCCUCGCACUAUUAGGCGGCCGAUAUCGGAUUAGCUAGUUGGUAGAGUAACGGCUCACCAAGGCAGCGAUCCCGUAGCUGGUUUUGAAGGACGACCAGCCACGCUGGGACUGAGACACGGCCCAGACUCCUACGGGGAGGCAGCAGUGGGGAAUUUUGGACAAUGGAAACCCUGAUCCUUCCGCGUGUGCAAUGAAGGCCUUCGGGUUGUAAAGCACUUUUGGCAGGGAAAGAAACGGCACGGGAUAAUACCCCGUGCAACUGACCUGCAGAAUAAGCACCGGCUAACUACGUGCCAGCAGCCGCGGUAAUACGUAGGGUGCAGCGUUAAUCAGGAAUACUGGGCGUAAAGCGUGCGCGGAGCGGUUCCGGAAGAAAGAUGUGAAAUCCCAGAGCUUAACUUUGGAACUGCAUUUUUAACUACCGAGCUAGAGUGUGUGUCCAGAGGGAGGUGGAAUUCCGCGUGUAGCAGUGAAAUGCUGCGUAGAUAUGCGGAGGAACACCGAUGGCGAAGGCAGCCUCUGGGAUAACACUGACGCUCAUGCACGAAAAGCGUGGGGAGCAAACAGGAUUAAAUGCCCUGGUAGUCCACGCCCUAAACGAUGUCAACUAGCUGUUGGGGCCUUCGGGCCUUGGUAGCGCAGCUAACGCGUGAAGUUGACCGCCUGCCAAAUUACGGUCGCAAAGAUUAAAACUCAAGGAAUUGACGGGGACCCGCACAAGCGGUGGAUGAUGUGGAUUAAUUCGAUGCAACGCGAAAACCUUACCCACCCUUGACAUGUCUGGAAUCCGAAGAGAUUUGGGAGUGCUCGCAAGAGAACGGAACACAGGUGCUGCAUGGCUGUCGUCAGCUCGUGUGGUGAGAUGUUGGGUUAAGUCCCGCAGCGAGCGCAACCUUGUCAUUAGUUGCUACGAAGGGCACUCUAGUAGGACUGCCGGUGACAAACCGGAGGAAGGUGGGGAUGACGUCAAGUCCUCAUGGCCCUUAUGGGUAGGGCUUCACACGUCAUACAAUGGUCGGGACAGAGGUCGCCAACCCGCGAGAGGCAAUCCCAGAAACCCGAUCGUAGUCCGGAUCGCAGUCUGCAACUCGACUGCGUGAAAGUCGGAAUCGCUGUCGCGGAUCAGCAUGUCGCGGUGAAUACGUUCCCGGGUCUUGUACACACACCGCCCGUCACACCAUGGGAGUGGGUUUUACCAGAAGUAGUUAGCCUAACCGUAAGGAGGGCGAUUACCGCGGUAGGAUUCAUGACUGGGGUGAAGUCGUAACUAAGGCCAG